rnacentral:rRNA from 1 species
GAUUAGAGUUUGAUUAUGGCUCAGGACGAUCGCUGGCGGCGUGCUUAACACAUGCAAGUCGAACGAAAAUAUUAAUAAUGAGAGCUUCGGCAGGAAUUUUUUCUAUCUUAGUGGCGGACGGGUGAGUAACGUGUGGGCAACCUGCCCUGCACUGGGGAAUAAUCAUUGGAAACAAUGACUAAUACCGCAUACGGUUCCUGGGAGGCAUCUUCCGGGAAAGAAAGGAUUUAUUCGGUGCAGGAUGGGCCCGCAUCUGAUUAGCUAGUUGGUGAGAUAACAGCCCACCAAGGCGACAAUCACUACCCGACCUGAGAGGGUGACCGGCCACAUUGGGACUGAGACACGGCCCAAACUCCUACGGGAGGCAGCAGUGGGGAAUAUUGCACAAUGGGCGAAAGCCUGAUGCAUCAACGCCGCGUGAAUGAAGAAGGGUUUCGGCUCGUAGACUUCUAUCAACAAGGACGAAAGAAAUGACUGUACCUGAAUAACAAGCCCCGGCUAACUACGUGCCAGCAGCCGCGGUAAUACGUAGGGGGCAAGCGUUAUCCGGAAUUACUGGGUGUAGAGGGUGAGUACGCGGCAUGGUAAGCCAGAUGUGAAAGCCUUGGGCUUAACCCGAGGAUUGCAUUUGGAACUAUCAAGCUAGAGUACAGGAGAGGAAAGCGGAAUUCCUAGUGUAGCGGUGAUAUGCGUAGAUAUU